GUGAUAAUUUAUUCAAAACCUUAUAUUACUUAACUCAUUUAUAUUAAAAUAAGUAAUAGGUCUUCUCACUUUUAACCUAUAAUAAAUUUUAGAAGAAAAAAAAAGAGAUCAUACGAGAGAGGCGAAUGGCAUAGUUCGAGGCAACAAUAUAAGCGACCCAUGCUGCAGAUUGUAUUGUUUUGGAAGAUCAACAUAAUGGGAAGACUCAAGUCCCGGAGUAAUCAUUCGAUUGUUUGAG